rnacentral:rRNA from 1 species
GAAGAGCGCUGACAGAAUUCUUAACACAUGCAAGUCAACUGGAAUUUCGUUUUGGGUGGGGGAGGGGGAGAGUAACGCGUAAAGAACUUCCCUCAGAGUUAGAGACAACUUUUGGAAGCGAACGCUAAUCCCUGAUAUUAAGAUUUUAGGGCACCCUAGAAUUAUGAAAGCUAUAUGCGCUGUGAGAGAUCUUUGCGUCCCAUUAGCUAGUUAGAGAGGUAAGGGCUCCCCAAGGCGAUGAUGUGUACCCGGCCCAGAGAGGGUGAACGGCCACAAGGGGUCUGAGACGGCGCCCUUCCCUCUGCGGGAGGCAGCAGUGGGGGUAUUUUAGACAAUGGACCAAGAGUCUGAUCCAGCAAUUCUGUGUGCAAGAUGAAGUUUCUCCGAAUGUAAAGUGCUCACAGUUGAGGAGAAAAAAAUGACUGUCCCAACAGAAGAAGUGACGGCUAAAUACGUGCCAGCAGCCGCGGUAAUACGUAUGUCACGAGCGUUAUCCGGAUUUAUUGGGCGUAAAGCGCGUCUAGGUGGUUAUGUAAGUCUGAUGUGAAAACGCAGGGCUCAACUCUGUAUUGCGUUGGAAACUGUAUAACUAGUGCUCUGGAGAUGUAAGCGGAACUACAAGUGUAGAGGUGAUUUUCGUAGAUAUUUGUAGGAAUGCCGAUGGGGAAGACAGCUUACUGGACAGAUACUGGCUCUGAAGCGCGAAAGCGUGGGUAGCACACAGG